UACGUAGGGUGCAGGCGUUAAUCGGAAUUACUGGGCGUAAAGCGUGCGCAGGCGGUUUGCUAAGACAGGUGUGAAAUCCCCGGGCUUAACCUGGGAACUGCGCUUGUAACUGGCAAGCUUGAGUGUGGCAGAGGGGGGUGGAAUUCCACGUGUAGCAGUGAAAUGCGUAGAGAUCGGGAGGAACACCAGUGGCGAAGGCGGCUACCUGGACCAGCACUGACACUGAGGCACGAAAGCGUGGGGAGCAAACAGG
rnacentral:rRNA from 1 species